CGUCCUCGAAUCCCUGGUCAGAUGCAACCAUCUCCGACCCCCAGGCAGGUCCCUGCGGCCCAGAACCUGAGCCCUCAGGACCCGCCAGGCCCUCGAGGACCCUACCUGAAGAAGAGGGUUGACCAACUGUACCUGGGCUGGACAUUAAAAACUUCCUGGCUAUGAAGCACCUGCAGAACCUCUGCAGACCAUCCACACUCUGCCCAGUGGGGCCUGGAUCCUGCUGUGCUCAGUGACCUCCUACUGGACCCUCAGAUUCCUC